AACGAACGCUGGCGGCAGGCCUAACACAUGCAAGUCGAGCGGACCUUUCGGGUUCAGCGGCGGACGGGUGAGUCACGCGUGGGAAUAUGCCCUUCUCUACGGACUAGUUCUGGGAAACUGGGGGUAAUACCGUAUACGCCCUUAGGGGGCAAGAUUUAUCGGGGAAGGAUUAGCCCGCGUUGGAUUAGGGAGUUGGUGAGGUAAUGGCCUACCCAGCCGACGAUCCAUAGCUGGUUUGAGAGGAUGGCCAGCCACACUGGGACUGUGACACGGCCCAGACUCCUACGGGAGGCAGCAGUUGGGAAUCUGAGACAAUGGGGGAAACCCUGAGCUAGCCAUGCCGCGUGAGUGAUGAAGGCCUGAGGGUCGUAAAGCUCUUUCAGCUGGGAAGAUAAUGACGGUACCAGCAGAAGAAGCCCCGGCUAACUCCGUG
rnacentral:rRNA from 1 species